CGCGUUCGCCAAAUCCACCGUGAAUCACGCUAUGAGCACCGUCGUGGGAGAGAGAUAGGAGCCGCCGCGCAUGGGCUUCAGUUCACCUUCAACCAGAUCGCCGGAGUUGUGCCCUAGGGCUUCUUCGGGCUAGAGGGUGAGUGGACGGGGUCGCGUCGUGUGGGAUUCAUCACCAGCGCCACCUCAAUUGCUCACGUGAGAAGUCCCUGCAUCGCAAAUCCGCUACCUACCGCAGGCCGACUUCACCACAAUGCCUUCGAUGGUGGGAUAUCCCUAACCCUGUUUUGUUUGACAUCCGCAUUCAGUUGGCCUUGCCGGUGUUGGUGAUAGUGUCUAGGGUCUCAGGCAGCCGCUCACCGGCGAGAACGCCGCGCGGUGGCAGGGCGCCCUGGCAUACGGAGGAAGGAGAACGGCACUGGACCACGGGAUAAGAAAUGGAUGGCUAGGGUUAAAUUUGUUGCUUACCCUUUUGCCCAUUGAACUCGAGUCAUGGAUCGUCCAUCCGAUGGCUAGGGUGGAUCAUUGUCGUGGGUAGCUUUUGGCCAUAGAUCCUUAAUCGUGCGGUCGAUAUUGUGUACCGAUUCAGAAUAAACACAGAUCUAAUCCAGGCCUUUGGUUCCUGAUCGAACGGCUGAGGGAUCUUAAUACCCCUUCGGCCGAGACUAAUUGCAUAAGAUCCCUCGGGUUCCAUUGAAAUCAACACGCCGUCCAUGUUAGGUCAGAAUGAAUAACAAACAAGUCCUCGAAAUUUGCAAACCAGUCCCUAGUAUUUACAUUCAUGCCCUUAAUAGCUGUUUUAGUAUAAAAAUAAAUAUAAAAACAAACCCAAAAUCUUAUUUAUUGCAUAUCUCUCACAUUUUAAUUCUGAUUUAGUCCAUUCCAGUUGCUUUAGCUUCAUAAAAAUAUUUUCUACGCAGUGAGAACAUCAUUUGUACCAUAUCACAUAAUUAGAUAUUGCUUAAUCUAUGUUUUGUAGAUUAAGUUUGCUAAUCAAAGUCAACUUAUCUAUAAUUAUAAUCUAACUAAUAUAUGAUAACUAAUUAAGUUGUAACAUGUACUAAAGUUGAAUUAAAUAUUUACUUCUCACAAGAUUUAUAACAUAGAAGGUAUUUUUAUCAUUUAAACACCUAAAACUUUAUAAAACUACAUCUUUUGAACCAUAACUCUGAUUUUAGUGAUUCUUGUACCUACGCUCUUGUAGCAGCGUGUAGAAUAUUUUUACGCUGUUUGUUCUCAUGUUUGGUGUACUGUUGUUUUAUAUGCUCCUUGUCUAUUUGUAUGUAUUGCUACGAAUAGCGAUGAGGUCACGAGAAUCCGUAGACCAACUUGGUACCUGGGAUCUCAAGUCUAAGGCAAGUUGUGCCCUUGAGCACUUUUCUUUACCUAUUAAUGUUCAUGUUAAUCACUGUGACAUGCUCAGGUUAAUUUGAUGGGACCUAAUAGGUUUCCCUAGUAUUAUUUACCCCACACCUUGCAAACAAAAGAACUAUUGGGUAGAUUAGCUAUUCCUCUACCUGGUUUCGGGAACUUAAUGUUAUGAUCAUGUUUCAAUUUUGCUGUAGUUAUAAUUAUUGUUCAUGAUAAGAUCAUUAUAUCAAUAGGAACAUGGAGCGACCACUAGGGAAAACAGUGCUACCACAAGGGUGGUAUGGGACGUCCUUGGCUGACUAAUUAGGAAAGCUAGUGGAGGACUACCUUACCCUAAAGGGGAAAGGGCGGUAGAGGAGUUGUGGUAUAGGGAGGUUCUUGGGUCGAUCAAGCUGCAAUGGCUUUUCGGAUGAGGGAUUCCAAUAUCGCCCUUCUCAGAAACCGUAGCGGGUUUUCUGAUGCUAGUGGAACUUUGUAAAGGCCUCAUAGUGCUACCCUGCCUCGCCUCCUCGGUAGAGGUGUAUGGGAUUCACGAUCCCGUGGUAGAUGGGUAACACGACUUGUGGGUAAAGAUGUGCAACCUCUACAAAGUGUAAAACUGGUAUACCAGUCGUGCCCACAGUCAUGAGCGGCUCGGACCCCCACAUGAGUAAUUUAUGGAACUAAACUUAAUUUGUCAUUUGCUUUGCAUUGUGGGUGUUAUUAUUAACUUUGAUUUCUUGUUUAUUUGGGUUGAUAUCUACUUAUACUUAGUAACUGCUAAUAAAAAUUUAACCAACUUUAAAAGCAAUGCUCAGCUUUAACCAUCUCCUUUCGUAAGGCUUACACUUCACAUGAGCCCCAUUUUAAGUGAGCUCAUGCACAUUAUUCCCCACAACUUGUUGAUAGAUGAACGUAUGUGAGCUCACCCUUGUUGUAUUGACAUCCCCCAGGUAAAGGAGAGGUACCAAAAGAUAAGGAGCAUGAUGGAUGCCGAGAUGAGUUCAUGAGAGAUCUGAACCGUCCUCUCCCAAUCAACUAUGGUUGUUGGAUCGUCGUCUUUGUAUGAUGUAAUUAUUUAGUUAUUUUGUACAGAACUCCUAUUAUAUAGUAAAGAUGUGACAUUCGUUUAUGUACCAUGAGUCAUCAUAUGUGUGAGACUUGAUCCUAGCACACAUUUGAUUCACGCCUGGAUUUGCCCUUAAAUUUGGGUGUGACACUUCUCUUCUCAAGUUUGUAUAUUGUUGCUGGAAAGGGUUUGCUUUGUUGACUCCCUAUGUUGUAC
rnacentral:lncRNA from 1 species